rnacentral:rRNA from 1 species
GAUGAACGCUGGCGGCGUGCCUAAUACAUGCAAGUCGAGCGAACAGACGAGGAGCUUGCUCCUCUGACGUUAGCGGCGGACGGGGGAGUAACACGUGGAUAACCUACCUAUAAGACUGGGAUAACUUCGGGAAACCGGAGCUAAUACCGGAUAACAUGUUGAACCGCAUGGUUCAACAGUGAAAGACGGUCUUGCUGUCACUUAUAGAUGGAUCCGCGCCGCAUUAGCUAGUUGGUAAGGUAACGGCUUACCAAGGCAACGAUGCGUAGCCGACCUGAGAGGGUGAUCCGCCCCACUGGAACUGCGACACGGUCCAGACUCCUAAGGGAGGCAGCAGUAGGGAAUAUUCCGCAACGGGCGAAAGCCUGACGGAGCCACCCCGCGUGAGUGAAGAAGGUCUUCGGAUCGCAAAACUCUGUUAUUAGGGAAGAACAAAUGUGUAAGUAACUAUGCACGUCUUGACGGUACCUAAUCAGAAAGCCACGGCUAACUACGUG